rnacentral:misc_RNA from 1 species
GAAAAAAUCAAAAAAUCCUUUGCUGUGUGUGUUGGUACUUGGUAGCGUGAAGCAUCGACGUUCUACUGGGAAAAGAUGGCAUUUGACUCUUUUCCUAUGGCUCCACGUGAUUGAAAUUUGAAAUUAUGAUGCCUUUAUUCACAAAGUGAUCAACAAUUGAAGUCCUAAAUUUGUAAAGUCUCAUCCCGCAGACAUGAAUUAACAUGUGGUUUUGGCUACCAGGUAACUUUUGGACUAGGUCGGGUCUCGGGUGGUCCAAGUUUGCUGUUCUAAUGUAGUCUUGUCAGGCAAUGUGAAGAAAAAGGUUGCUGGAUUGGUCACACUGAAUGGUGACAAUUAUGAUUCAGUAAAAUGAAGGCCAAAAUAUUUCAACUGUUUGUCGUCUUGGUUACCUUAAUAAAAUCUUUUCUGUUGAGCUUCCUGCUUCUAUUUACUAUUUCUUAACAUUUUCAGUCCUGUCUAGUGCUUUUAAUGUUUAGUUGAACCCCUCAUUUGUGGUACCAAGUUUCCAUAGUUCUUUCUUUCAUUUUGCAAUGGUUUCUUCAAUGCUAAGACUACACAUCUAUUUGAAGACUUGCUGACAGUCUACUCUUGCAAUUUUGGAUAUUUUCAUUUGUAUUAAAUAAUUUGAUUGCUUUUGUGGGUAGAGAUCAUCUUCACUUGUCGUUUCCGUGUUAGUUGAUUAUCAUUGCGGAUCUACUUUGGGUGCGGUUAGUCUAUUUAAAUAAGAGCGAUGUGAAGAAUCCGGAAGAGCUACUGGUAAAUGAUAGUCCAAAUUAGAUGAUUUGUUGCCCACUGUAAGUUCGAAUGUAGAAUUAAGAUAUUAAUGAAAUCGUAUGGAUUUGAAAAUUUAUUUUUCAAAUAAAGCACAUUCGGUGUUAAAAUCAAAUAAUCGCUUAUCAAAGGGCAAUAUUUCGAUUACCGGAAAAAUAAUUAAUCAGCGAUACCAAAAGUUUGGCAGCCAGCAUGCAUGAAACUUUAUUAGUUAUUUCAGAGCGUUAGAAAAGAAUGUAGAAUAGAAACUAUGAUUAUUCUAUUACAAGUCAAUCAAGUAACCUCUGGAACCCAUUAGCAAAUUAUUAGACUCGUAGCAUUCUGUUUUUUGUAAACUGUAGAUAUUUCCAUGGUUACACCUAUAAUACGGUAUAAACACGUUAACACUCAAUACAAGAGCUUCAAUGUUCA